GGCCAGGGCUGUAGCUCAGCGGUAGAGCAUCUGCUUUGCAUGCAGAAGGUCCCAGGUUCAAUCCCUGGGAGUGUCC